rnacentral:rRNA from 1 species
AAUGAACGCUGGCGGCAUGCCUAACACAUGCAAGUCGAACGACACCAUAGUGAGAGCUUGCUCUUGCGGGUGGCGCGUGGCGGACGCGUGACGAAUACAUCGGAUACCUCUUCUACUUGGGUGAUAACGUCGGAAAACUUCUGCUAACACAGCAUAUAUCCUACUGGUUAAGGCAGGCGUUCUUCGGACUUUUCGCGAGUGUAAUAGCCAAUGUCGGAUUAGCUAGUUGGCUGGGUAAAGGCCCACCAAGGCCACGAUGCGUAGCUGGUCUGACAGGAUGAUCCGCCACACGGGAACUGAGACACGGCCCAGACUCCUACGGGAGGCAGCAGUGGGGAAUCUUGCGCAAUGGGCGAAAGCCUGAUCCAGCAAUACCGCGUGAGUGAUGAAGGCCUUCGGAUUGUAAAGCGCUGUUGUUGGGAAAGAAGAAAAGCUGUUUUAUCCGCGAUUGUUAUGACGGUACCGAAAGAAUAAGCACCGGCUAACUUCGUG